CCUACGGGGGGCUGCAGUGAGGAAUAUUGGUCAAUGGACGAGAGUCUGAACCAGCCAAGUAGCGUGAAGGAUGACUGCCCUAUGGGUUGUAAACUUCUUUUAUAUGGGAAUAAAAUGUUCCACGUGUGGGAUUUUGUAUGUACCAUAUGAAUAAGGAUCGGCUAACUCCGUGCCAGCAGCCGCGGUAAUACGGAGGAUCCGAGCGUUAUCCGGAUUUAUUGGGUUUAAAGGGGGCGUAGGUGGAUUGUUAAGUCAGUUGUGAAAGUUUGCGGCUCAACCGUAAAAUUGCAGUUGAAACUGGCAGUCUUGAGUACAGUAGAGGUGGGCGGAAUUCGUGGUGUAGCGGUGAAAUGCUUAGAUAUCACGAAGAACUCCGAUUGCGAAGGCAGUUCACUGGACUGCAACUGACACUGAGGCACGAAAGUGUGGGUAUCAAACAGGAUUAGAUACCCUAGUAGUC
rnacentral:rRNA from 1 species